rnacentral:rRNA from 1 species
GAGAUAGCUGGUUCUCCCCGAAAGCUAUUUAGGUAGCGCCUCGGACGAAUACCACUGGGGGUAGAGCACUGUUUCGGCUAGGGGGUCAUCCCGACUUACCAAACCGAUGCAAACUCCGAAUACCAGUGAGUACUAUCCGGGAGACACACGGCGGGUGCUAACGUCCGUCGUGAAGAGGGAAACAACCCAGACCGCCAGCUAAGGUCCCCAAAUUCCAGUUAAGUGGGAAACGAUGUGGGAAGGCUCAGACAGCUAGGAGGUUGGCUUAGAAGCAGCCACCCUUUAAAGAAAGCGUAAUAGCUCACUAGUCGAGUCGGCCUGCGCGGAAGAUGUAACGGGGCUCAAACUGGAUACCGAAGCUGCGGCAGCAGACUUGUUCUGCUGGGUAGGGGAGCGUUGUGUAAGCCUGUGAAGGUGUGUUGAGAAGCAUGCUGGAGGUAUCACAAGUGCGAAUGCUGACGUGAGUAACGAUAAUGGGGGUGAAAAACCCCCACGCCGAAAGACCAAGGUUUCCUGCGCAACGCUAAUCGGCGCAGGGUGAGUCGGCCCCUAAGGC